rnacentral:rRNA from 1 species
AUAAACUAUGCCUGCCAGCGAUCCGCCGAAGUUCCUCCGAUGACUCGGCGGGCAGCUUCCGGGAAACCAGAGCUUUUGGGUUCCGGGGGAAGUAUGGUUGCAAAGCUGAAACUUAAAGGAAUUGACGGAAGGGCACCACCAGGAGUGGAGCCUGCGGCUUAAUUUGACUCAACACGGGAAAACUCACCAGGCCCGGACACCGGAAGGAUUGACAGAUUGAGAGCUCUUUCUUGAUUCGGUGGGUGGUGGUGCAUGGCCGUUCUUAGUUGGUGGAGCGAUUUGUCUGGUUAAUUCCGAUAACGAACGAGACUCUAGCCUACUAACUAGGCGUACCCGGUAUCCACAAUCGUGCUACCGGCGAUCAAAUUUCUUCUUAGAGGGACAGGCGGCUUCUAGCCGCACGAGACUGAGCAAUAACAGGUCUGUGAUGCCCUUAGAUGUCCUGGGCCGCACGCGCGCUACACUGAAGGAAUCAGCGUGUCUUCCCUGUCCGAAAGGACCGGGUAACCCGCUGAACCUCCUUUGUGCUAGGGAUUGGGGCUUGCAAUUGUUCCCCAUGAACGAGGAAUUCCCAGUAAGCGCGAGUCAUAAGCUCGCGUUGAUUACGUCCCUGCCCUUUGUACACACCGCCCGUCGCUACUACCGAUUGAAUGAUUUAGUGAGGUCUUCGGACUGGUGCGCGAAGGCCGCUCCCGCGGUCUCCGAUGUUGCCGGAAAGAUGACCAAACUUGAUCAUUUAGAGGAAGUAAAAGUCGUAACAAGGUUU